UUGUGCAUUGGAGAGUUCUGUGGCAGAGAUGGCUGCAGGCUGAUGAGCGCUUUGACGCCACAUUCCACACUAACGUGUUGGUGAAUUCUUCUGGGCAUUGCCAGUACCUGCCUCCAGCAUAUUCAAGAGUUCCUGCUACAUCGAUGUACGCUGGUUUCCCUUUGAUGUGCAGCACUGCAAACUGAAGUUUGGGUCCUGGUCUUACGGAGGCUGGUCCUUGGAUCUGCAGAUGCAGGAGGCAGAUAUCAGUGGCUAUAUCCCCAAUGGAGAAUGGGACCUAGUGGAAUCCCCGGCAAGAGGAGUGAAAGGUUCUAUGAGUGCUGCAAAGAGCCCUACCCCGAUGUCACCUUCACAGUGACCAUGCGCCGCAGGACGCUCUACUAUGGCCUCAACCUGCUGAUCCCCUGUGUGCUCAUCUCCGCCCUCGCCCUGCUGGUGUUCCUGCUUCCUGCAGAUUCCGGGGAGAAGAUUUCCCUGGGAUAACAGUCUUACUCUCUCUUACCGUCUUCAUGCUGCUCGUGGCUGAGAUCAUGCCCGCAACAUCCGAUUCGGUACCAUUGAUAGCCAGUACUUCGCCAGCACCAUGAUCAUCGUGGGCCUCUCGGUGGUGGUGACAGUGAUCGUGCUGCAGUACCACCACCACGACCCCGACGGGGGCAAGAUGCCCAAGUGGCCAGAGUCAUCCUUCUGAACUGGUGCGCGUGGUUCCUGCGAAUGAAGAGGCCCGGGGAGGACAAGGUGCGCCCGGCCUGCCAGCACAAGCAGCGGCGCUGCAGCCUGGCCAGUGUGGAGAUGAGCGCCGUGGCGCCGCCGCCCGCCAGCAACGGGAACCUGCUGUAC
rnacentral:lncRNA from 1 species